UACUACAAACAAUUACCGUGUGCUUAAUUCUACUAUGCCAAUUUAUAGUUAGAGUGAACACAUAUUAUGUUGCUUUUACCAUGUUUUGGUUUGACUAACCAUGGAUUUAUGACAUAGCGCAUAGUAGCUACAACUACUAAUUAUAGUCAACUCCAGUGGGAAAAAAUAUAUCUAGCGUCAGAUUAACUUCAUCGUUUCUGAAAUUAUAAAUUAGCACGUUUUACUAAAAUAAAUUUACAAUAAAAUACUGGAGCUUCAACAAUCGACCAUAGACGGCAGCUUCAUAACCGCAAUCCGCAUACUUUUUCCUUCGCUUGCCAUAAGGUGAAUCGAUUUGCGUCGUACUUUGAACUUUGUCAAUUUGCUAAUUAGUGAAUACUCUUGAACUUUUUAAUUGUUCCCGAACUUGACCAUGAUUCCCACCUCGACAUCGCAGAUGAUUGUGGUUCCCUGGCCGAUUGACGAGACAGAAAACUGAAAGAGCAGCUAUUUGGAAUACGCAGAAAGCUGAUUCUGAUAAGUGUGGUUAUGUUGGGCGCUAUCUGUCUGCUCGUACUACUGUUAAUUCUGGCCAAGUCUAGCGCCAAAGAGAAUCGUUGGGAUCGAACGGAACGAGAUCAAACUUCCUCUUCGAUGGCGGUCGGGCGAGGCAAUAUUCAACAUAGCAUUCCGUUCUUCGUUGGUUUUUCCGGAUCGGUCAGAGCAAUCAGCUUUACCAACAACGCUUCUUUGGCAUUCCAUGGCGCAGUAUUCAACAUAUGAUUAUUAAUUAGGAAUUUAUUUUGCUCAAUAAGUCGCCUGAUUCACUUUGCAAGAGAUGAUGAAAUAAAAAAAAAAUCCAUAUAAAAACAAAACAAAACAACUAAAUUGCAUUUACAGAAUAACUCAACAUGGGGGUUGUUGUUACUAUUUUGCUAAAAUCAUCAUAAC